UACGAAGGGGGCUAGCGUUGCUCGGAAUCACUGGGCGUAAAGCGCACGUAGGCGGCUUUGUAAGUUAGAGGUGAAAGCCCGGAGCUCAACUCCGGAACUGCCUUUAAAACUGCAUCGCUUGAAUCCAGGAGAGGUGAGUGGAAUUCCGAGUGUAGAGGUGAAAUUCGUAGAUAUUCGGAAGAACACCAGUGGCGAAGGCGGCUCACUGGACUGGUAUUGACGCUGAGGUGCGAAAGCGUGGGGAGCAAACAGG
rnacentral:rRNA from 1 species